rnacentral:rRNA from 1 species
GACGAACGCUGGCGGCGUGCUUAACACAUGCAAGUCGAACGGAAAGGCCCUGCUUUUGUGGGGUGCUCGAGUGGCGAACGGGUGAGUAACACGUGAGUAACCUGCCCUUGACUUUGGGAUAACUUCAGGAAACUGGGGCUAAUACCGGAUAGGAGCUCCUGCUGCAUGGUGGGGGUUGGAAAGUUUCGGCGGUUGGGGAUGGACUCGCGGCUUAUCAGCUUGUUGGUGGGGUAGUGGCUUACCAAGGCUUUGACGGGUAGCCGGCCUGAGAGGGUGACCGGCCACAUUGGGACUGAGAUACGGCCCAGACUCCUACGGGAGGCAGCAGUGGGGAAUAUUGCAAAAUGGGCGGAAGCCGGAUGCAGCAACGCCGCGUGCGGGAUGACGGCCGUAGGGUUGUAAACCGCUUUCGCCUGUGACGAAGCGUGAGUGACGGUAAUGGGUAAAGAAGCACCGGCUAACUACGUG